AGUAGGGAAUAUUGGUCAAUGGGUGCAAGCCUGAACCAGCCAUGCCGCGUGCAGGAAGAAGGCGUUAUGCGUUGUAAACUGCUUUUGCCAGGGGAUAAAAUAGCUUUGCGAAGCUAAUUGAAGGUACCUGGUGAAUAAGCCACGGCUAACUACGUGCCAGCAGCCGCGGUAAUACGUAGGUGGCAAGCGUUGUCCGGAUUUAUUGGGUUUAAAGGGUGCGUAGGCGGCCCUGUAAGUCAGUGCUGAAAUAUCCCGGCUUAACCGGGAGGGUGGCAUUGAUACUGCGGGGCUUGAGUGGAGUCGAAGUAGGCGGAAUUGACGGUGUAGCGGUGAAAUGCUUAGAUAUCGUCAAGAACACCGAUAGUGAAGACAGUUUACUAGGCUUUUACUGACGCUGAGGCACGAAAGUGUGGGGAUCAAA
rnacentral:rRNA from 1 species